GUUUCCGGGGUCAUCAGACGUUAACGGAACGAUGGCUUUUCCUUCGACGCCAUGGACUGGAGGUGAUGUUCUUCAGCUCGUUUCUCCAUUUCCAUGAAUUGCUGGUCAGUCUUCUUAAACGCUUCUUGCAGCUCAUCUAGGAUGCUAGCCACGCUACCCUCGAGCGCAGAGAUCCUAUCGGAGUUAAAAUCUUGCUUAGGCGGGAUGAUUAGGCUCUGAUACCAAUGAUAAGCCCUAAGAUUUAGGGUUUAUCUACGUGACAGAAAUGGGAAAGGGAGAGAGAGAAGAUAAGAUAAGAAGAUAGAGUUUUGAUUAAUUAUUUAAUGUUUCCCAUACACAUAACGUGAAUUUAGUAGCCAUAAUGUAAACCCAAAACGACAUAAUAUUAAUUAUUAAGACCCUCUCUCUCACUCAGAGUCUUUCCUUCACUUCAACUCUUCUACACUUCAGCCACUUCUCUGUCUCUUAGUCCUCG
rnacentral:lncRNA from 1 species